UUCUAUUCCCCAAACCUCUCCAAUAUACACCUCAUCUGAAACACCCCCCUCAACCACCAGAACCUCUAACCCACCCUCUCUAAAAUUAAACCCUGCUACCACCACACUACCCGUUUCUGAAGCAGAAAUGCUGAAUGAAACUACCUCACCAUCAUCAUCAUCAUCCUCACCUCAAUCCCCACCAUACUAUGUACUUUUCCUCU
rnacentral:lncRNA from 1 species